UUCCAAGUUCCAACCCACUGAACCCAGUAUAGCUGUGUAGGUGACUGACUAUUAAGCACUGCGGUGUUAUAUCUCGAAAGGUAAAGUAGAGGAUUCAAGUAUGAUUAUCCAAAAAAAAAAAAAAAAGCAUGCUACGAGGGGCCAACCAAAACAUGGGACUGCCAACUAACGUUGGAAGGAUCGUACCAAAACCACCCCACCAGCUAGAGGCCAUAUUCACUUGCGAAAGCAGCGAAAGUGGAGCAAAAAAUAAAUAUACUUUAGAAUGAAGCAAGGAACAAACUAACAGCCUACUCAUGGCGGUUCUGAUGUUGUGGGAGAUGGAGUAGAUGAAGAUCGCUAUGACUAUCUGCAGUAUGCACGCUUGUUUUGUUUUUGAGAAAUUGUAGCCAAGACAUGUUGAAUCUCUCUCUCUCAAGAUAGUAGCCAAGCCAUGGUGAAUCUCUCUCUCUCUCUCUCUCUCUCUCUCUCUCUCUCUCUCUCUCUGUGUGGUGGGUUUGGGGCAGCAAUAUUGGUUUUCUCCACCUCCAUGUGAGGAGGUUCUUCUCUCUUUCUGCUCUAUUUCCUUCUUUUUUUUCCCUUUCUUUUCCCCAAAUCUGAGUCAUAAAUCUUACUCCCCAGAUCCGCUAUCCUCCUCUGCCGACUAUCCACCGUCCUUCCAAGUUGCCGCUCAACCUCCACCUCACCCCAACGUGUCUCCCCCCUGCCUCACCCCUUUGCCUUACCGCUCUCUCCACCGCCUCACCAGAGCGUUGGUGAAUGGGUGGGUCAGAUUUCCGGGUCUUGGAGCUGGUGGUCUGUUUUCUAUGAUGGUGCCGAAGAUUCCAGUAGUUUUGUUGCAGAUUGAUGCCCCGGGAUGUCCUUUGACCACCGUGAAUGCAAGGUAUUCAUCAGUUGUAGCCGGUGUCUUGCUUCUCGUAUUCAGAGCCCCGCAUGACAGCGUGGGCUCGCCCCGGAGUGGCAUCCGGUUUCCGGCGUGUCACUUGGAGGGGAUAAUACGGAGUGAGGUCCGGAUUUCCAUCAGAAUAGUUUAUCCUUGAUUUGAAGAUUCGUCAUUUACGGAAAAUCUGAGCGUAUGUAAUUACGACUCCACUAUGCCGAUUUGUGAUAGUGAACACUAGGUUUUUCCUUUUGCUGGUAUUGAUAUAUCUUUUGUGGGU